UUCCGGUUGAUCCUGCCGGACCUGACUGCUAUCGGAUUGAUACUAAGCCAUGCGAGUCAUUGUAGCAAUACAAGGCAUACGGCUCAGUAACGCGUAGUCAACCUACCCUAUGGACGGGAAUAACCUCGGGAAACUGAGUAUAAUGCCCGAUAGAACACUAUACCUGGAAUGGUUUGUGUUUCAAAUGAUUUAUUGCCGUAGGAUGGGACUGCGGCCUAUCAGUUUGUUGGUGAGGUAAUGGCCCACCAAGACUAUUACAGGUACGGGCUCUGAGAGGAGUGGCCCGGAGAUGGGUACUGAGACACGGACCCAGGCCCUAUGGGGCGCAGCAGGCGAGAAAACUUUGCAAUGUGCGAAAGCACGACAAGGUUAAUCCGAGUGGUUUCUGCUAAAGGAACCUUUUGACAGUCCUAGAAACACUGUUGAAUAAGGGGUGGGCAAGUUCUGGUGUCAGCCGCCGCGGUAAAACCAGCACCUCAAGUGGUCAGGAUGAUUAUUGGGCCUAAAGCAUCCGUAGCCGGCUCAGUAAGUUUUCGGUUAAAUCUGUACGCCCAACGUACAGGCUGCCGGGAAUACUACAGAGCUAGGGAGUGGGAGAGGUAGACGGUACUCGGGAGGAAGUGGUAAAAUGCUUUGAUCUUUCGAUGACCACCUGUGGCGAAGGCGGUCUACC
rnacentral:rRNA from 1 species